GCGCACGUGAUCUAGUGGUCAUGAUGCAUGGUUCCCAACCAUGCCACCCGGGUUCAACUCCCGGCGUGCGCA
rnacentral:tRNA from 1 species